rnacentral:snoRNA from 1 species
GCGACCUUACAUGAACAGGAUCUGUUCUACAGGCUCGCACCACGGCAUCCUUGAGUUCUAAGGAGACAGGAAACCAAGUCUCGUAAAUGAUCCCCGUGGCCAUGAGACUAGAGCGUGAUUAAUAACCCCACCAUAUAUAGCCCAUGAGGUGAUGAUGCUCUCGUGACUGUUUGACAGACU